UGCUGUUAAUGCCUGGGGCUCUAAUACUGGCGAUGGGUUGUUGUGAGAUGUCAUUGUUGAAGGCGGUGAUGUUAUUGGUUGCGGUUUUCCUGUAUGCUUCAACUGUGAUCCUUGAGGAUACUCCAGUGUACAUGUCAUGGCCUGACCUGGUGCAAACAUCGCUCCGUCAAUUAAAGACCAAGCUGGACAAAGCAGCCUACCCCAACAUCAACGGCCCAACCCAGAAAUUCUUGGGGCAACUAAUGGAAUUUGAUGCUGCUAGACCCUAGACAAUUUGUUUUUUUGUUUCCUAUUUUUAAUAUAAUCUUAGU